CGGCCAUAUCAGUUCUCGUACGACCACCGAAGUUAAGAAACGUAGAACUUGGUCAGUAUCUAGAUGGGUGGCCUCUUGGGAAUACCAGGUCCUGCAAG